GGACGAGUAUAAAAGAGCUGACCAGAAUAUCAAGACAUUACUCUUCUACUCUACGUACCGACGUCAAGUAUUACAUUAUUUUUUACAAAGCCGAAUAAAAAAUUUUCACCAUGAAAUUUCUGUGCUUGGUUGUUGUGGCUGUCACCUACUAUUUAGCUGCCGCCUUCUUUACUGAAAUGGAUUUCGACUCUCCGAUGCAGACUGUAAUUUAAGCUACUCUUUCUCAUUUUAUUUUUUU